rnacentral:rRNA from 1 species
AACGAACGCUGGCGGCAGGCCUAACACAUGCAAGUCGAGCGAGGUUUUCGGACCUAGCGGCGGACGGGUGAGUAACGCGUGGGAACGUGCCCCUUGGUACGGAAUAGCCCCGGGAAACUGGGAGUAAUACCGUAUGAGCUCUACGGAGGAAAGAUUUAUCGCCAAGGGAUCGGCCCGCGUUGGAUUAGGUAGUUGGUGGGGUAAUGGCCUACCAAGCCGACGAUCCAUAGCUGGUUUGAGAGGAUGAUCAGCCACACUGGGACUGAGACACGGCCCAGACUCCUACGGGAGGCAGCAGUGGGGAAUCUUAGACAAUGGGCGCAAGCCUGAUCUAGCCAUGCCGCGUGAGCGAUGAAGGCCUUAGGGUUGUAAAGCUCUUUCAGCGAGGAAGAUAAUGACUGUACUCGCAGAAGAAGCCCCGGCUAACUCCGUGCCAGCAGCCGCAGUAAAAC